rnacentral:rRNA from 1 species
AUUGAACGCUGGCGGCAUGCCUUACACAUGCAAGUCGAACGGCAGCACGGGAGCAAUCCUGGUGGCGAGUGGCGAACGGGUGAGUAAAGUAUCGGAACGUGCCCAGUCGUGGGGGAUAACGUAGCGAAAGUUACGCUAAUACCGCAUACGAUCUAUGGAUGAAAGCGGGGGAUCGCAAGACCUCGCGCGAUUGGAGCGGCCGUUAUCAGAUUAGAUAGUUGGUGGGGUAAAGGCACACCAAGCCGACGAUCUGUGGCGGGUCUGAGAGGACGACCAGCCACACUGGGACUGAAACACGGCCCAGACUCCUACGGGAGGCAGCAGUGGGAAUUUUGGACAAUGGGCGAAAGCCUGAUCCAGCCAUGCCGCAUGCAGGAUGAAGGCCUUCGGGUUGUAAACUGCUUUUGUACGGAACGAAAAGGUUUGGCCUAAUAAGCUGAGCUCAUGACGGUACCGUAAGAAUAAGCACCGGCUAACUACGUGCCAGCAGCCGCCGUAA